ensembl:lncRNA
AUGGUUUCCACAACUUCCCCUUGCAUUGCAUCAGUAGUGGAGUGGCACCAGCAGCUGUAUAGGGGCCAUUUUUGGAUGAUUCGGAAGCUGCAGAGGACUGGAGGCCCCAUCUUAAUAUACAUCAACAUCCAGAUAAAACGCUGGUUUGGAUUUUCAAAGCAAAGGAUAAGAGAAACAAGCCUUUUCUUCUUCCUUGUUUCCUCCUCCACUGAGACAGAGAGGAGGCCACCAGUGAGGCACCUUUGGAGCAAAGAUGUGAUCCAGCCCCUGAUGGGUCAGCAGCAGGCUCAUGGCCUGGAGGGACAUUGCCAGAUCUUUUCUCUUCACUGUGGGCCAUGCUGUGUCUCAUCCUCCUGCCACAUCCCAGGACAAAGAAGGUCCUGGUGGUCUGCUUUGAUCCCCAGAGCCUUCUCCUGCCUCUCCCCAGGUGGUGGAUGCUCCUGCACCUUCCCCACAGAGCUAGCUCCAGCUGCUCAAUGUCUUUCCUAUAUCUCUGUGUCUGUGUGGGUGGGAGUGCAUGGUGUGUGAAGCAGGGAGCUUUGCCUGAGCAAAAAUAUUUCAGAAGGGGCAGAAAAUGCCAAGAAGAGUGAGCAAUGAGAGAGGGGACAAGAAGGUCAGAGUAAGAGGCUGUAGAAGUGCUCCAUGGAGGAUCAAGGACCCCCUGCAGCCCAUGGAGGACCCACAGGGCAGAUGGAUAUCCUGCCCACAGAGAGCCACAGCAGAGCAGAGGAAAAGUGUGAGAAGAAAGGAGUGUCAGAGAGAAAUCGCUACAUACUGACCCUAACCCCUCAGCCCCAUUUCCCUGUACCACUUUGGGAUGAGUAGAAGAGUCUGGAGUCAAGUUAAGCAUGGGGAACGGGGAGGAAAGGUUUUGUUUUAAUGUUACUUUGCCCCAACCAAUAAUUAUGCAUGUAUUUUAACUGGCAAUAAAGUCAGUCAAUUUUCCCCAAGCAGAGUCUGUUUUUCCCAUGACAGGAAUUGCUAAGUAAUCACCCCCCCCCCUAUUUAUCUCAACCCAUGAGCUUCUUCAUUUGUGUUCUUUGUAUUUUUCUCCCCCAUCCCACUGAGGGGGAGUGAGUGAGCAGCUGGGUGAGAGUUUGCCUCCUAGCCAAGACUAACCCACCGCUAGAGUAAGGUGAUGAAAAUGUUCAAAAAGUAAAACAUUUUUAAAUGAUCCAAAGUAAAAUGAGUGAAAUAAGAGCAUAAUGUUCUUAUUUAUAGUAGUCAUAUUUGAUGGAAUUUUUCCCAUAUAGACCAACACCGUCCACACAAUAAGACAUAAAACAUGGACAAUCACUUUUCAGACCCUGCCUAGAUGGCCACAAGAUGAGUCAUACUUGCCCCAACUUGAAAUGCCUCAUGGGACAGAGCUGCCUCUAGGGUGGAAGAAUGGAUUAGUGACCCUCAUGGGGCCAUUUCCAUCUAGGGGCUUCUCAGACCCAUGGAAUCACAUGAUCAGUAGAGACAAGUCUGGUCUCACUUCUUUAUGAUUGACCCACUCUUUUGCAAGGGUGAUAAUAUUUUCCCUCCUUCCUCCAGUUCAAUAGGAGGGCUCUGAAUCACAUCAGGGGUGAUUGUGCUGCUCUCCACCUCCCCUGGUGAGAGAGUUCCCUCUGUCCUACCUCCUUCCUCUUGCUCUAGAUCCACCACAUGCUCCUGCACUUCUCCCAUGAGAACUCUAAAGGGCUUACCUGCUGUGCUGUGAAGGGCAUCAAGUUUUUUAACAACGACUGUAAACAGAGCUUUAUACUAAUGUCCAGCAUUGCUGGCAGAGGAGAGUGGCCACGCCCAGCUCAGAUGGGAUCUACAAUGUCAUACUGAACAGAAAGUGACUGAGAGAUCACAUCUAGCACAGAAACCUUAUCUUUGUCCCUGUGACAAUUACAUUGCUGUUUCUUUUUCCUGUUGAAUGGGUAGAACCACUGGUAAAGAUAGAAGAGUGGAUGAUUUCAGAUAGUUUGGGGUUUUCCUUUGUAGUUUUUUUUUUUUUUUUAGGUUAAUCUUUACUUUCACUGGCUUCCUGGUAAUGCUAUUAAAAUAAGAAUGAGCCAUAUGACCAGAUCCCUAAUAAACCCCUGCCUACUGUUUCUGCUGGCUAAUAACAUACCUACCUCUCCUUGUCAAACUCCUGCAAACUCAGCAGCUCCUGAAAUGAUGAGUCCUGGAGCGGUGGAUACACUUCAUUAAAAUCACUGAUUCCUUUUCUCACCUUUCUGUUUUCACCUUUCCAAACCCACUGGAACAAUCAAGCAUCUCUUGUGCCAGCCCAUAGUAUCUUCCCAAAGGAUAAAAUACACAGCUGACUUGCUCGUUUAGGGAUGGGUGUUGGGUAAUGCAGAGUCACAGAGUAGCUGAUGUUGGCAGGAGCCUCUGGAGGUCACCAAGUCCAGUCUCCCCAGCCGGAGCUGGUUGCCCAGGACCACAUCCAACUGGGUUUUGAAUAUCUUGAAGGACAGAGACUCCACAACCUCUCUGGGUGACCCGUUUCUGUGUCUGAUCACCCUGGCAGUAAAAAAAGUGUUGUUUUGCAUUCAGAUGGAAUUUCAUGUGUUUCAUUUUGUGUCUCCUGUCCUGUCACUGGACACCACCAUGUAUAUUCAUCAUAUACAUAUUGGUAAGCUCCCUCCUGAGCUGUCUACUGUCCAGGUUAGGAGUCCCAGUGAUCUCAGCCUUUCCUUGGAUGAAAGAUGCACCAGUCCCUCAAUCAUCUGCAUGGGCCUUUUCAGGAUUCCAGUAACCCCCUAUCUUUCUUGUACUGGGGAGCCCAGAACUGGACACAGCACUCCAGUGUGGCUUCACCACACUCAGGUACUGAGUAGAGGAGAAGGAUCACCUCUUUCAGCCUGCUGGCAAUGUGCUUCCUGAUGCAGCCCAGGACACUGUUGGUUUGCUUUGCCACAAGAGGGCACGGUCAGUUUGCUCAGACAGAAAAUGUGGCCCAGUCACCAGCUGAGAUGGGGAAUCUUUGCUUGUCACCAACUGGUAGGAGAAGCUGAAGGAGAGAAACAGAUAGGGAAUCACCUGGCAGCAGAAGAGGGGAUUCAUUUGCCUAAAUAUGGGCAGCUGGUACCAGUUUCAAGGUAUUAAGGAGUGUGAGACUAGUAGCUAUAGGACAGAACCACCCACAAGCUCAUAAAAGCUGAAGGUCAUCUCAAAGUUACCAGACACUUUGAGUAACUGAAUCAAAACCUUCAUUUCCCGCACCCAUUUCACAGCCUUUUCCAAACUUCAUCUCUGCUAGUAUCGUUUCUUUGUCCUGGUUUUGGCUGGGAUAGAGUUAAUUUUCUUCCUUGUAGCUGUGUUUCCUAUUUAGUAUGAAAAAAAAAUCAUAAUAAUGCACUGCUGUUUUACUUGUUGCCGAGUAGUGCUGCAUCUAAAUCAAGGACAUUUCAAGCUUCCCGUGCUUUGCCUGUGAGCAGGUACACAAGUAGGGCCAGGCCAGCUGAUCCAAACUAGCCAGAGGGAUAUUCCAUACCANCUUCGGAACACCACCAUAGGGGUCACCAUUUGAGGAGACUGAGGCACGGACUCCCUGAUCUGACUAGAAGACCCUUCAUGAGUCCAUAUACGUCUCUUUCUGGGGACGAAGCCUGAUUCCCCGUUAUGGAUUUCCCACAGCUCACCUCUCAACUCCGGAGGGAUUUCUGUCCGGCUCCUGCUUCCUUUCAGCAGAUCAUUCAGAGUUCUGUGGGAUUCGCUGCAUGUCGCUCAGAUAGGCGAUUCGAGAGCCCUUCACGUUAGAUCCUUAAACGCAUCACGCUGGGGUCACCAAUUUGCGGCGAAUGAAGAGACGGGAUGCAGCUUGAUGCAAGCAAAUGUCGAUUUAUUGUACACAAUCACGAGUUUAUAUAUGUUUUCAGAAGCUGCGUGCUUUAAACAGAUUGGUUCUUUAAGCUAAGAAUUACAUACUAGGCAAUCCCUGAUUGGUGGCUAACUACAAAGGACACUUUCAUCAAUUAACAGCAAGGUGUUAUCUUUCCUUGGCGCCAUCCUUGGCGCCAUCCUUCUCCCACUCCCAUAUGCUCUGUAUCAUGUUAAUUGUUGUCUAGACAAGCUCGAGCACAUUCCCCUCAGCUAACUGAUUGCCGCGCAUGGUCCUAGUUUCCAGCCCGCUCCUGCAAUCAUCCAUGACCUUUUCCAGAUUAUAUGACACCAAUUAGAGCUGAAUUUUAAAUUAUUCAAUAACCUGAACUGUCUUGUCAUUUAACAUGU